ACCAUGGUCCGAUAGGGACGAAAAGGGGCGGGGUUUAUGCUUUUUAACCAAUCGGAUGUGAGAAGUAGUUAUAUCUGCGGAUCCUCGCGGGUUGUUUCAAAACAUAAAUGAAUAAGUAUUAUUUGAGAUAUUUUACUAUUUAUCCGACGUUAAACAUCAACGAGAAAAGAAGGCACUGAUAUUUAAUUAUUCUGAAUGAACAGAGUGAAACCAUUAAAUGGAUGAGAAACUUGAUAAGGAGAUGCAACCACCAAAGGUAUUGAGUUUAGAGUAUCACAAACGAAGGUUUAAAAGACCUGGGCAAUCAUUUUAUGAUUUUUCUAAAAGAAAGUUAUCAAAGCGUUCACCAAAAUCAGCCUUGAACCAAGAAACUCACCUGACAAAUAAAGAAAUUGGUCAAUCAUCUUCAUUGGAAGUAAAUAAUUCUGAAUCAACAUCCAAGUCUGCCCCAAAAUUGACUGAACCAAUUGGAUGUGCUCAAUUUGAGGAUGGCAUACAAGAAGAACCCUUUCUGCCAGAGGUGGAGAUAUAUCUGAAUUUACUUGAAUCAGAAAAAGAAUCUGUAACUCUGGCUGAUGGAAUAAGCUUUUUUAUGGUCCUACCAGAUAUUACUUUAGAAAAGUCAUUAUUAAAGAAAGAGUGCUUAAUUCUUCUUGAAAGAAAAGCUGUGAUGUUUGAAAAUAGAGAAUCGGCAUGGGUUGUCAUGUGUAGCUGCCAACCUGCAUGGUCUAGGCAGAUGUCAUCAUCUUCCAACCAGUAUUGUUCUUCACGUUUUGACUUUUAUAAUCAGUAUCCGGAAUGUAUACAUAGGAAAGUUGGAUUUAAAAUAUUUAAAGAAUAUGAUAUACUACAUAAUAUUGAACCUGAU